UACGGAGGGUGCAAGCGUUAAUCGGAAUUACUGGGCGUAAAGCGCGCGUAGGCGGUUUAUUAAGUCAGAUGUGAAAUCCCCGGGCUUAACCUUGGAAUGGCAUUUGAGACUGGUAGGCUAGAGUGUGGUAGAGGUGAGUGGAAUUUCAGGUGUAGCGGUGAAAUGCGUAGAGAUCUGAAGGAACACCAGUGGCGAAGGCGACUUCCCGGGCCAAUACUGACGCUGAGGUGCGAUAGCGUGGGGAGCAAACAGG
rnacentral:misc_RNA from 1 species